rnacentral:snRNA from 1 species
GUAAGUGCAGCAUUGUUUGUUAU